GCCUGGCGCGGUGGCGCGUGCCUGUAGUCCCAGCCACUCGGGAGGCUGAGGCUGGAGGAUCGCUUGAGCCCAGGAGUUCUGGGCUGCAAUGCGCUAUGCCGAUCGGGUGUCCGCACUAAGUUCGGCAUCAAAAUGGUGACCUCCAGGGAGCGGGGGGCCACCAGCUUGCCUAAGGAGGGGUGAACCGGCCCAGGUCGGAAACGGAGCAGGUCAAAACUCCCCAUCCAGGGGAUGCUGGAGCUCUCAGCAAGGAAAAAGUCACAGGUGGUUUCAGGUGACCUAGAUGACACCCUGGCUCU
ensembl:misc_RNA Metazoa_SRP Metazoan signal recognition particle RNA